rnacentral:rRNA from 1 species
GAUGAACGCUGGCGGCGUGCCUAAUACAUGCAAGUCGAGCGAACGGACGAGAAGCUUGCUUCUCUGAUGUUAGCGGCGGACGGGUGAGUAACACGUGGAUAACCUACCUAUAAGACUGGGAUAACUACGGGAAACCGGAGCUAAUACCGUAUAAUAUUUUGAACCGCAUGGUUCAAACGUGAAAGACGGUCUUGCUGUCUCUUAUCGAUGGAUCCGCGCUGCAUUAGCUAGUUGGGAAGGUAACGGCUUACCAAGGCAACGAUGCAUAGCCGACCUGAUAGUGUGAUCGGCCACACUGGAACUGAGACACGGUCCAGACUCCUACGGGAGGCAGCAGUAGGGAAUCUUCCGCAAUGGGCGAAAGCCUGACGGAGCAGCGCCGCGUGAGUGAUGGAGACCUUCGGAUCGUAAAACUCUGUUAUUAGUGAAGAACAUAUGUGUAAGUAACUGUGCACAUCUUGACGGUACCUAAUCAGAAAGCCACGGCUAACUACGUG